UCUGUCUUCUUCUCUAAAGAAAGGAGCCAUUUCCAUGGCUUUUGCUUAACAAAAAACAGACUCUUAAGAUCAGCCGUGACCCUAGUUCAUCUUCUUCGUGGAAUCAAAAACAAGAAAACCCUAGGACCCUUCAACCAAACAGCCGCAGAACCCAAGAGACCUAAUCAGCUGCUAACCUAGCACAUAAGAACGCCUAAGUCUAAAAAGUCAGGAGCUAAAACCUAAAGCUACAGCUACCUGGACCUAAGACCAAAGGAGAUCCGCCGCUGUUCCUGUCCAAACGACCCUCACCUCGCCGGAAAUCCAUCCCUUCAACGACCAACUACCUUUUUCUUCCCAAGCAGUGACCAGCGACAACCAACAAGCAGUUGCUACUGCUUCUUUAACUCACUCACGACCGCCACAAUAACCAGAACGCAACCUUCUCUCUCAUUUUUCUGUCGCUCCUCCGUCGCCGGCGAGGUUCCAGUGCCGUCGAGGUCGCGUUCGAGUUCCGUCGUGGAUCCCAGUCGAAUUUGUUGUGCGGAUCUACUUACCGGAGUUUGAGCAUGACAGACACCCCGGACCAUCCGGUCAGGAUCGCUCAUUCAGGAGUUUGCUUAAGGAGAUUUUUAUUUUUAUUUUUAUGUUUUGAAUCUGUUUUUCUUUUUAUGUCGUCUUUUACCUUCUAGUUUUGUACAGUAAUGUCGAAUAUUUUAGGCGAUGUUAAGUUUGUCGA